AUGAGGAACGGACAGCUGAAAGCCCAACAUGGGACAGAGAUCCGACACCGAGCGGCGGCUUCCCAGGAAUCGAGGGAUGCGCAUGCCAGAGGGAACGAAAGGAACCUGGGUCAGAGCAGAUGGGAACCACUGACCAUUGCCCAUGGUGGCCCUAGCCCUAGCAGCCAGAACGUCACUAAAUACGUCGUUCGAGUUCCCAAGAAUACAACCAAAAAAUGUAACAUCAUGGCUUUUAAUGCAGCCGAUAAAGUCAACUUUGCUACGUGGAAUCAGGCUCGGCUGAAGCGGGACUUGAGCAACAAGAAAAUCUACCAAGAGGAGAUGUCCGAAUCUGCGCGGGCAGCGAGUUCAACCGCAAGCUUCGGGAGGAGGCUCGGAGGAAGAAGUACGGCAUCGUCCUCUAGGAGUUCUGGCCCGAGGACCAGCCCUGGCUGCUCCGGGUCAACGGCAAAUCGGGCAGGAAGUUCAAGGGCAUCAAGAAGGGAGGGUGACAGAGAACACGCCUUACUAUAUCUUCACCCAGUGCCCUGACGGGGCCUUGGAGGCCUUCCCCGUGCACAACUGGUACAAUUUCACGCUGCUGGCCCGGUAGGCACCGCACGCUCACUGCCGAGGAGGCCGAGGAGGAGGGGGAGAGGAGGAACAAGGUGCGGAACCACUUCAACAUCAUGCGGCAGCCGCGGCUCAAGGAUCAGGACCAGGACGAGGACGAGGAGGAGGAGAAGGAGAAACGCGGUCGCAGGAAGGCAAACGAGCUGCGCAUCCACGACCUGGAGAUGUCAUCCGAUGCCAGCCACGCCAGCGGUGAGGAGAAGGCAGAGCCCCCAAGGCCAAGAACAAGGAGCCACUGGCCAAGGGCGGCAGGAAAAAGAAGAAGGGCUCAGACGAUGAGGCCUUCGAGAACAGCGAUGAUGGGGACUUCGAGGGCCAGGAGGUGAACUACAUGUCGGACGGCUCCAGCAGCUCCCAGGAUGAGCCUGAGAGCAAGGCCAAGGCGCCCCAGCAGGAGGAGGGGCCCAAGGGUGUUGAUGAGCAGAGCAACAGUAGUGAGGAGAGUGAGGAGGAGAAGUCGCCCGAGGAGGACAAGGAGUAGGAGGAGAAGAAGGCGGCCACCCCGCAGGAGAAGAAGGGCAAGAAAGACAGCAGCUAGGAGUCGGACAGCUCAGAGGAGAGCGACAUUGACAGCUAGGCCUCCUCGGCCCUCUUCAUGGCGAAGAAGAUGAUGCCAUCCACGAUAGAGUGGAAGCCGUCGGGAGGGAGCUGGAGGGGCAACAGCCGCCCAGGCACGCCCAGCGCAGAGGGUGGCAGCACCUCCUCCACCCUGCGGGCGACUACCAGCAAGGGAAGCGGGUGAGCGAGAUGCCUGCAGCCAAGCGGUUGCGGCUGGACGCGGUGCCCCAGAGCCUGUCUGGGAAGUCGACCCCCUAGCCGCCAUCCGGCAAGUCAACAUCCAGCAGCGGCGACGUGCAGGUGACUGAGGAUGCUGCGCGCCUCUACCUGACAGGGAAGCCCAUGACCACUAAGGACCUGCUGAAAAAGUUCCAGACCAAGAAGACAGGGCUGAUCAGCGAGCAGACAGUGAACGUGCUGGCCCAGAUCCUCAGGUGCCUCAACCCCGAGCGCAAGAUGAUCAGUGACAAAAUGCACUUCUCCCUCAAGGAGUGAGGCUCUGUCCAACACACGGCUCUGCCCUCCAGAACUCAGGCUCUCACUGCCCCUUUGCCAUCCCGGAGUGAGGCUCUGUCCAGUACACGGGCUCUGCUCUCCAGAACUUCAGGCUCUCACUGCCCCUUCGCCAUCAUGCUCCCCGACUCCCAGGGCCCCGUAGUUAGCAAUUCUGGAAAAGUUUAAGCCAUCUCCUCAUCAGGCCCCUUCUUCUGGACUCUUCAGAUGCCUGUUAGGCCUCCUUCUUAUUGUCCUCUUUCUCCCAGCUCAGCCUCCCUCACACUGACCUGUGUUGGUCACUGGGUAACUUCUACUGUUCUCCCUUCUGCUUCCCCUCUCUCUUCAGCAGUGACUUAUCCACCACAUAGUCCAUUAAGUCUUCAGUUUUGGCUGGGCAUGAUGAUGAGUGCCUGCAGUCCCAGCUACUUGGGAGGCUUAGCCCAGUUCAAGGCUGCAGUGAACUACGAUGGUGCCACUGCACUCCAGCCUGGGUGACAGAAUGAGAUCCUGGCACACACACAAAAAAGUAUCCAGGCAUGGUGGCAGGCGCCUGUGGUCCCAGCUAUUCUGUAGGCUGAGGCACGGGAAUCACUUGAACCUGGGAGGUGGAGGUUGCUGUGAGCCGAGACCACACCAGUGCACUCCAGCCUAGGUGACAGAGUGGGACUCAGUCUCAGGAAGAAAAAAAAAAAAAAAGAU